rnacentral:rRNA from 1 species
CAGUCGCCGCGGUAAUACGGAGGGUGCAAGCGUUAAUCGGAAUUACUGGGCGUAAAGCGCACGCAGGCGGUCUGACAAGUCAGAUGUGAAAUCCCCGGGCUUAACCUGGGAACUGCAUUUGAAACUGUCAGGCUGGAGUCUUGUAGAGGGGGGUAGAAUUCCAGGUGUAGCGGUGAAAUGCGUAGAGAUCUGGAGGAAUACCGGUGGCGAAGGCGGCCCCCUGGACAAAGACUGACGCUCAGGUGCGAAAGCGUGGGGAGCAAACAGGAUUAGAUACCCGGGUAGUCCCUGUCUCUUAUAC